rnacentral:tRNA from 1 species
GGGCCGGUAGCUCAGUGGUAGAGCGUCGCCUUUGCAAGGCGAGGGUCAGGGGUUCGACUCCCUCCGGUCCACCA